rnacentral:lncRNA from 1 species
UUUACUUUUAAUUCUAAUUCGAUGGUCUAUAAAAUGAUUUGGCUUCUUAAUAUUUGGUCUGUGCUGUGUCACCAUUAGGGUUGAGCACGGAUCGGGUUCAAUUGGAUUGAGAGAAAAAUUUCAUCCAACCGAAUCCAAUCAAAUUGAAGAAAAUUCAACCCGCUGCCGACCAUUUAUCAUGUAUAAACCGUUUGAAAUCGAAGUGAACAGUUUGUAGCGGGUUCGGAUGGGUUGUGUCAGUUUGGGGUUUAAUAUUGAUCCAAUGUUGAUUUUAAAUCCAAUAUUG